CCUACGGGUGGCAGCAGUGGGGAAUAUUGGACAAUGGGCGAAAGCCUGAUCCAGCCAUGCCGCGUGUGUGAAGAAGGCCUUCGGGUUGUAAAGCACUUUCAGUGGGGAAGAAAGCCUUGGGGCUAAUACCCUCGAGGAAGGACAUCACCCACAGAAGAAGCACCGGCUAACUCCGUGCCAGCAGCCGCGGUAAUACGGGAGGGUGCGAGCGUUAAUCGGAAUUACUGGGCGUAAAGCGCGCGUAGGCGGUCUGAUAAGCCGGUUGUGAAAGCCCCGGGCUCAACCUGGGAACGGCAUCCGGAACUGUCAGGCUAGAGUGCAGGAGAGGAAGGUAGAAUUCCCGGUGUAGCAGUGAAAUGCGUAGAGAUCGGGAGGAAUACCAGUGGCGAAGGCGGCCUUCUGGACUGACACUGACGCUGAGGUGCGAAAGCGUGGGUAGCAAACAGGAUUAGAUACCCCAGUAGUC
rnacentral:rRNA from 1 species